CCUACGGGAGGCAGCAGUGGGGAAUAUUGCACAAUGGGGGGAACCCUGAUGCAGCGACGCCGCGUGGGUGAAGGAGUAUUUCGGUAUGUAAAGCCCUAUCAGCAGGGAAGAACAAUGACGGUACCUGACUAAGAAGCACCGGCUAAAUACGUGCCAGCAGCCGCGGUAAUACGUAGGGUGCAAGCGUUAUCCGGAUUUACUGGGUGUAAAGGGAGUGCAGGCGGCGCGUUAAGCCUGGUGUGAAAGCCCGCGGCCCAACCGCGGGACUGCAGUGGGAACUGGCGCGCUGGAGUGCCGGAGGGGUAGGCGGAAUUCCUGGUGUAGCGGUGAAAUGCGUAGAUAUUAGGAGGAACACCAGUGGCGAAGGCGGCUUACUGGACUGUAACUGACGUUGAGGCUCGAAAGCGUGGGGAGCAAACAGGAUUAGAUACCCGAGUAGUC
rnacentral:rRNA from 1 species